GACGAACGCUGGCGGCGUGCUUAACACAUGCAAGUCGAACGGUGAAGCGCCUUCCUUUUUGGUGGGUGUGGAUGAGCGGCGAACGGGUGAGUAAUACGUGAGUAACCUGCCCCCUUCUUCUGGAUAACCGCAUGAAAGUGUGGCUAAUACGGGAUAUUCUGGGUCUGUCGCAUGAUGGGUCUGGGAAAGAUAUUGUUUCGGUGGGGGAUGGGCUCGCGGCCUAUCAGCUUGUUGGUGGGGUGAUGGCCUACCAAGGCGGUGACGGGUAGCCGGCCUGAGAGGGUGGACGGUCACACUGGGACUGAGACACGGCCCAGACUCCUACGGGAGGCAGCAGUGGGGAAUAUUGCACAAUGGGCGCAAGCCUGAUGCAGCGACGCCGCGUGAGGGAUGGAGGCCUUCGGGUUGUGAACCUCUUUCGCCAGUGAAGCAGGCCUGCCUCGUUUGUGGGUGGGUUGACGGUAGCUGGAUAAGAAGCGCCGGCUAACUACGUG
rnacentral:rRNA from 1 species